rnacentral:rRNA from 1 species
AUGAAUUGCAUGAGCUGGAACUAUCGAGGGCUUGGGAACCCAUCGACAGUUCGAGAGCUUCGCAAGAUUGUGAAGCAAGAAGGCCCCUCCCUCCUCUUUGUCAUGGAAACAAAGAUUAGGGGACAGCGUGUGGAGCACCUGAAAUUUGUUCUAGGCUUCAAAGGUUGGUUCGCGGUGGAUAGCGAUGGUUUGAGUGGUGGCAUUGGCUUGUUCUGGACUGAUGAUAUA